AAAAGGUCGAACCUAUUGGGAUGAGUGGACUUUGUUUGGAGCAGUAUGUCGGCCGACUGAAAGCUUGAUUAAACGUGCCGGAGCUGGAUGAAGGAGGAUUCGCAGUGUCGAUGACGGGUCAGCGAGAACUGUUAGAAGAAAAGACUGUGAGACGCUGGUGAAGAACUCUUACUCGGAGCGAGUUGGUGGCACAGUGAGGUUUCCGGACCACGUGAGACGCUGUGUUGAGGCUGGUCGCGGUUAUGGUGCCAAGGCUUCCGAACUUUUAAGAAUCCAGAUAUCGGGAUGAAAUAUGGGUCAGGAAAUGGGACUGUGUACGUAUGUGAUUACAUAAACAAAGGUUGUGUGUGUAGAAGGCAAAGAGGAACACUGCUGUCAUAGACUUACCCCACACUCAUGUCCUGAAGCAAACCUACACACAAACAUUAUAAACAGGGUAUGCAGUGUCGGCUAAUUUACGAGGCACCAGAACAUUAGUGAAAUGAGAACACCGAGCGUCAGGAUCUUGAGGGUAAUGGCGAUCAGGAACAGGAAAUUACUGGGAACCAUCAAUGUGCCCCUGAAUAAGCUUAAGGGAAUUCCAUGAUUGCUUGGUUAGAUGAACGUGUAACCAUGAAGUGAGGUGACGUCGAGGACUCCCACCCACCAAUCAGCUCAGAGAAGGCGCGGCUUAAAAUUUAAAAAACCUGAUGAGAAGGAUUGAUGGAGGAGGAAAAGCAUGGAGAAAGGAUAUUGUUAAAAAGGAAAUUGUUAACACCAUCUUAUCAUCUUGGCUCAUUAACCUCUGUUAUUAAUUGAGCGUUUUUUGCCAAACAAUAAAUAAUAACUACUAUAGUCA